rnacentral:lncRNA from 1 species
GUCGUGUUUUGACGUGAUGGAGUGUCUGAAGCUGGGCCUGACUCAGGGUCUGAAGGUCAGCUGCUGCAACUGGAACGGCUGGAACAAACAAACAUUGUGGAAACAUGAUGAUUGUGUGUGACCUGCUUUCAAGUUAAAUAAACAUUUGAAGUUCCAAACUUUGCUAAAAAAUUAAAUUUGGACUACCCUCACACUGCCACAGAUUUUAUUUUUAAAUCUAAAUAAGUAGAUCUCAUGAUUUUAACAGUUUCCAUCAGGGCUGAGAGUCAAAAGUGGUCUAAAAGGGCAUCUUUAACACAAAAUACACAACAAAUCUAACUAGUGUGGUUUUUAUUUAAAAGGAAAGUUGAAAUUUUGAUUUUGAUGAAGGUUUUUGAGGACAGUAAGCUAAAUCUAUACUUUAAAUAAAAGCAUUUAAAAUAAUUUAAAUACAGAUCUGACACACACAGAGCUUCAAAGUUGAGACGAAGGUUACUUUUCCACCCACAUGGAAGAAAAACACGAAUAUAUUUCCCCUUUAUGCAUUAAAAGUUGUUUUUUCUUUCUAAUUGACAGUAAUUGAAAGACUUUUAACUUUGACUUUAAUAGUGCUUUUUUGCUCUCCCUCUAACACACAACACAAAAUAAGGGUGUCUUGAUACAACUUUUUGAUACCGUUACGAUAUGAAACAGAUACGAUGCCGAUAUUGCAGCCUUCAAUAUUAACCGAUAAUGACUGAUAUUUAUGCCUGACAAAAUUUUCACUCAGCUGCAAUGUCUUUUUCAGAUAUAUAGAGGAGCGGAGUCUGAAAUGGAUUGCUUGUAUCAGAGUGCUGAUAUCAGGGAUUUUAGAUGCAGGCUGAUAUAAUCCGAUAAUUGUUCUUUUGCUGAUACUGGACCAAUACCUGAUAUUGAUAUUGUAUUAGGACACCUGUAGUUCAAACUGCCUCCCUAUUACAGAAGAGAGUGACAGAAGUGCUGCUGAUCCUUCACAUUCUGGAUUUUGUGAAAACUCUUCCUCAUGAUGAUAAAAAUGACUAUUCACUCCAUCUGGGAAAAUGUGCUGGAGUAAAACUUCAUGUUCUGUUUGCAGCCUCUUGUGUAAUCAUCAGAAGUACAGAGUUUUGCAACAAGUCAAAACUGACUGAGCUCCAAAUCAGAGUAAACUCUGAUGUUUGAUCACAGACGGGCUAUAAAAGGAGUAUGUGAAUGCUCUGUGGAUUCAGAGAGACUUCUGAUCCUGGAGAAGAAACACCAGCAGGUAAUUAUUCAGAGCUGGAGUCUGAAUGUAGGUUUUUCUAAAUGCUUUUAUUCUGUUUGAGAUUAAAUUAGAUUCAACUUUUUCAUCAGUUUAGCACCUGACCAGAGGUGCUUCAUCAAGUGCAGACAACUACAGAGUGAUUAACAGAGUAACACUCUUUAAACCACUGCAGAGGUGUAGGAAGUUUGUCGGUUUAAAUAUAUGGAUUAAAGAAGGAUUAAAACUGUCAGUUCUAACACACUGAGACAGAUUCAGGCUCCUCUGAGGAACUUUUGGUUUGUGUGAGUUUUGCUGAUGGGGUUCUAGUGAAAAGCUGAAAAUGGUUGAAGAUUUAGGGAUUCACAUGAACUCGUACAUUUCUGUCUUUGCAGCUGAUCUACUUGGUCAUAAUCAUCCAUAAUGAAGACUGUCCAGCUCGUUGUCGUCCUCCUCAUCGUCUGCAUCAGCUGUGGUGAGUACUCGUUCAUGUUUUCAGCCUUUCUUUGAACCUCUAACAUAAAACAGACCACUGCAUGCAAAUAAUGGUAAAUCCUUGACUGGUAUAAGGGGUGAACACUCUGUUUUAUUUUGCAGCAGAGGCUCUGAGGUGUAACCGUUGUGUCCCUGCGAGAAUGGGUGGAUCAUGCCAUAAAACAGAGGAGGAGUGUGAAGAACGUCACGAUGUUUGUAUCUACGUAACCAUCAGUUACCCAAGUAAGUGAUCUUAAACUGCAGUAAUUAUACAUUAUUUUGCACAAUUUUGAGUUUGCAUGACUCAAACAUUUUUAAAAGAGCUUUUUUAGAUCACUCCAUCCUGCAGCAGUCCUCAGUCGAUUUCAGUGCACCCUUUAAAAGUUUUUCAAAGGCUUUAAAAGUUUUUUUUUUUUUUAAGUAAAAAGUAUUUCAAGCGCUUUCUGCAGAUAUUCCAUCACUGUAAUGAUGUCAGACAAUUAGAAUAUCAAUCUGAGCCUGUCAGGGAUAACAUAUGGACUUUUAGUGGACACACAUUUUCAUUUAGAUUCCACUCAAACUGCAGCAGUAAAGAUUCUGUGGAUUCUGUGGAUCAUUUGUGGAUAUUUUGCCAGAAUUAACAUGUUGCUCUUGUAUUUCCUGCAGCGUACUCGUACUUUAAGAGAUGCUCGAGGAGAGUUGAUGCCGAGAUCAUGAAGGCCAACCAAUACCUCACCGUCAGAAUCUGUGAUACUGACCUCUGCAACUGAGAUUAUUUUAUAAUGUCUGCAAAAAAGCAUUAAAGUUGUAUCUUUUAUUUAAAAAUGUGACUUACUGAGAGGACUGAAGAAAUGUGAUUCAGCUCCAUAUAAUCUGCAUACCAAAUAAAAAAAUAAAUAGAAAGUUGGUGUCCUGCAGUUUUUUUUUUUUUUUUUACUAAUUCAGAGUAAUAUAAUAGUUUUAUUGUGAUGUAUCCUGUUGUUUAAGUUACUUUGUUUGUCUCACCCCUCAGGGUACAGAAUCACUGGGAGGAAAGUAAGAACAAAUAUGUUGACUCUCUACCAAAUAAAAAUUCAAUGAAAAUAGUGAA